rnacentral:rRNA from 1 species
AUUGAACGCUGGCGGGAGGCUUAACACAUGCAAGUCGAGCGAGCGGCGGACGGGUGAGUACUGUCUGGGAAACUGCCUGAUGGCGGGGGAUACCUACUGGUAACGGUAGCUAAUACCGCAUAACACCAGAUGUGCCCAGAUCGGAUUAGUUAGUAGGUGGGGUAAUGGCUCACCUAGGCCACGAUCCCUAGCUGGUCUGAGAGGAUGACCACCCACACUGGAACUGAGACACGGUCCAGACUCCGUCGGGAGGCAGCAGUGGGGAAUAUUGCACAAUGGGCGCAAGCCUGAUGCAGCCAUGCCGCGUGUGUGAAGAAGGCCUUCGGGUUGUAAAGCACUUUCAGCGAGGAGGCGUUACCUGCAGAAGAAGCACCGGCUAACUCCGUGCCAGCAGCCGCGGUAAUUC